rfam:Callithrix jacchus chromosome 7, whole genome shotgun sequence
UUUGCUUUAAUGAAGACUACACAGAAAACCUUUCUAAGGAUUUGUGUGGAUCAGAUAAAUAGUUGGCAAA